rnacentral:rRNA from 1 species
GAGUUUGAUCCUGGCUCAGGAUGAACGCUAGCGGCGGGCCUAAUACAUGCAAGUCGAACGGGAUUGUUGGUAGCAAUACUGACAUGAGAGUGGCGCACGGGUGCGUAACACGUAUGUAACCUACCUUUAACUGGAGAAUAGCUCCGAGAAAUCGAAAUUAAUACUCCAUAAUAUAAAGAAAAGGCAUCUUUUUUUUAUCAAAGUUCCGACGGUUAUUGAUGGACAUGCGGUGCAUUAGCUUGUUGGUGAGGUAACGGCUCACCAAGGCUACGAUGCAUAGGGGGUCUGAGAGGAUGAUCCCCCACACUGGUACUGAGACACGGACCAGACUCCUACGGGAGGCAGCAGUAGGGAAUAUUGGGCAAUGGACGCAAGUCUGACCCAGCCACGCCGCGUGAAGGAUGACGGCCCUAUGGGUUGUAAACUUCUUUUGUAUGGGAAGAACCCCUUCUACGUGUAGAAGGCUGACGGUACCAUAAGAAUAAGCAUCGGCUAACUCCGUGCCAGCAGCCGCGGUAAUACGGAGGAUGCAAGCGUUGUCCGGAUUCAUUGGGUUUAAAGGGUGCGUAGGCGGAGAAUUAAGUCAGUGGUGAAAGCUUACAGCUUAACUGUAAAAAUGCCAUUGAAACUGAUUUUCUUGAGUUCGAUUGAGGUAGAUGGAAUGUAUCAUGUAGCGGUGAAU